rnacentral:rRNA from 1 species
AUGUAUUGUCAUCCUUAUGCAAGUGCAUGUAUUGUCAGAUGCCUAAUUAAUAUUGUCAGAUGCUUCGUAGGUAGCAUGUGGAGGGAGCAAAAUCUAAAGAAAAUUAGAGAUGGAAAGGUCUUUAGUGAGAGAACAACCGUUCUACGAUUGGACACCAUUGAGGUCAUUGGAGGCAGAAAGAGUAUCUGCAAGUGGUGUGUAUGGUGGCACGACAUCCAGCUUUCGCCAAUUGAUGACACGACGUUGGUUCUUUGUUCAGGGAUCUCGGUGAUAUGGAUUCAAAUCAACUGGUUGGACGCUCCAAUGAUGGGAGUGUUCAUCUCACUUGGGGUGCCUCCGAAGAUGGAGUGGUCACUCUUCCUUAUAGUUGGUGGUCGAGUUGAUGUAGUCACUGGAGCUUCUUGUCGGAUGGUGUCGAUGCCGGUGUGA